UUGUCGAUAAAGGCUAUGGCAUUCACUUAUCACAGUGAUUGAGGUAUAAAAUGCGUUAGAAUGAGUACCAAAAUCAAAGGUAAGUUUUUACAAAUUUUCCCCAUUAUUUUCCCAGUUCUUAAUUUAUACUUCUGUUAACAAGUGGUUGAUUUUGUAUUUACAUUUAAAAACACCGAAAUAUUGUCACUUUUUGUUUGGUGCAUUAAGGAAACGUUUCAAUGAUAUUUUUCACAUUUUAAUGUUCAGUCUCUCUGAUAGGCACCUCUUCUUUCUCCCACCAUUUUUUUCCCCUAAUUUAAAUGGUUAAUUUGACAUGCUUACUAUUUUUUUUUUAAUCUCUAUUUCCUGUUAUUAAUUGUUGUGUUUGGUUUUAGGGACACAACUUCAAAGCAUAAAAACCUAGAACCAUCUGAAAACCAAAACUGCAAGUUGCUUUUUAUUUUCGUUUUACUUUCUACUUCCAAUUUGUUCUCUGUGUUUUCUUUAUUUCGUAUAUUUCUUUCUCUUUUGGCUUUCACUUUUCAGGAAACAGAGGUUUCUUCUCACGAAACCUUGCAGCAAGUUGUUCUCAUAGGUCCAACAGAGAUUCUGAUGGGUACCUCUCAUUUCUUUCAAGACUUUGUUUGCUCAAGUGGGUGACAACUUUCAUUGUGAUUUGAUGGUUGGGUUGUGUACAUGAAAGCUUCUUAGAGAGCAACUUGGCUAUUGUUGGUGGCAGUGUACAGUUAAUGAGGAAGGAUUGUCAAGAUAAUAAAAAGGUUCCACCUGUUCUUGAGUGUGAAAAGGAUUGUGGGCUGUUUUUUA